UACGGGGGGGGCAAGCGUUGUUCGGAAUUACUGGGCGUAAAGGGCUUGUAGGUGGCCAACUAAGUCAAACGUGAAAUCCCUCGGCUUAACCGGGGAACUGCGCUUGAUACUGGAGAUCUUGAGUCCGGGAGAGGUGAGUGGAACUGCGAGUGUAGAGGUGAAAUUCGUAGAUAUUCGCAAGAACACCAGUGGCGAAGGCGGCUCACUGGCCCGGUACUGACGCUGAGGUGCGAAAGCGUGGGGAGCAAACAGG
rnacentral:rRNA from 1 species